UACGGAGGAGGCAAGCGUUAUCCGGAUUUAUUGGGCGUAAAGCGCUCGCAGGUGGUUCGUUGCGUCGUGCGUGAAAGACCCCGGCUCAACUGGGGAGCGUCGUGCGAUACGGGCGGACUGGAGGCCAGUAGGGGGAUGCGGAAUUCCGGGUGUAGUGGUGGAAUGCGUAGAGAUCCGGAGGAACACCAGCGGCGAAGGCGGCAUCCUGGACUGGUCCUGACACUCAUGAGCGAAAGCGUGGGGAGCGAUCCGG
rnacentral:rRNA from 1 species